GCAAGUCUGGUGCCAGCAGCCGCGGUAAUUCCAGCUCCAAUAGCGUAUAUUAAAGUUGUUGUGGUUAAAAGGCUCGUAGUUGAACCUUGGGCCUGGCUGGCCGGUCCGCCUCACCGCGUGUACUGGUCCGGCCGGGCCUUUCCCUCUGUGGAACCCCAUGCCCUUCACUGGGUGUGGCGGGGAAACAGGACUUUUACUUUGAAAAAAUUAGAGUGCUCCAGGCAGGCCUAUGCUCGAAUACAUUAGCAUGGAAUAAUAGAAUAGGACGUGUGGUUCUAUUUUGUUGGUUUCUAGGACCGCCGUAAUGAUUAAUAGGGACAGUCGGGGGCAUCAGUAUUCAAUUGUCAGAGGUGAAAUUCUUGGAUUUAUUGAAGACUAACUACUGCGAAAGCAUUUGCCAA
rnacentral:rRNA from 1 species